rnacentral:misc_RNA from 1 species
GAUGAAGAACGUAGCGAAAUGCGAUAAGUAAUGUGAAUUGCAGAAUUCAGUGAAUCAUCGAAUCUUUGAACGCACAUUGCGCCCGCUAGUAUUCUGGCGGGCAUGCCUGUUCGAGCGUCAUUUCAACCAUCAUGCUCCUUAGCUUGUGUUGGGGACCUGCGGCUGCCGCAGCCCCCGAAAUGCAGUGGCGGGCUCGUUGUCACACCGAGUGCAGUAAUCAUUCUUCUCUCCGGGCGUGGCGGCGGGUUCCGGCCGUAAAAUCACCAAUUUAUCAAGGUUGACCUCGGAUCAGGUAGGAAUACCCGCUGAACUUAAGCAUAUCAAUAAGCGGAGGA